GAUGAACGCUGGCGGCGUGCCUAAUACAUGCAAGUCGAGCGAACGGACGAGAAGCUUGCUUCUCUGAUGUUAGCGGCGGACGGGUGAGUAACACGUGGAUAACCUACCUAUAAGACUGGGAUAACUUCGGGAAACCGGAGCUAAUACCGGCUAAUAUUUUGAACCGCAUGGUUCAAAAGUGAAAGACGGUCUUGCUGUCACUUAUAGAUGGAUCCGCGCUGCAUUAGCUAGUUGGUAGGGUAACGGCUUACCAAGGCAACGAUGCAUAGCCGACCUGAGAGGGUGAUCGGCCACACUGGAACUGAGACACGGUCCAGACUCCUACGGGAGGCAGCAGUAGGGAAUCUUCCGCAAUGGGCGAAAGCCUGACGGAGCAACGCCGCGUGAGUGAUGAAGGUCUUCGGAUCGUAAAACUCUGUUAUUAGGGAAGAACAUAUGUGUAAGUAACUGUGCACAUCUUGACGGUACCUAAUCAGAAAGCCACGGCUAACUACGUG
rnacentral:rRNA from 1 species